rnacentral:rRNA from 1 species
UACGUAGGGGGCAAGCGUUGUCCGGAAUCAUUGGGCGUAAAGAGCGUGUAGGCGGUCAGGUAGGUCCGUUGUGAAAACUCGAGGCUCAACCUCGAGACGCCGAUGGAAACCAUCUGACUAGAGUCCGGAAGAGGAGAGUGGAAUUCCUGGUGUAGCGGUGAAAUGCGUAGAGAUCCGGAGGAACACCAAAGGCGAAGGCAGUGUCCUGGGGAGUACCUGACGCUCAGGUGCGAAAGCCAGGGGAGCGAACGGG